AGUCAAUGCUCGCAAGAGUGAACUAGCUAACUGAAAUAACAGGAUCCACUACGUGUGGUGAAUGUUAUAACGUAAGGGAAAAAAAUGAUAUUACCUUACUAUUAGUGUUGUCCAAAACUGGUGCCAGAAGACUCGGUAAGGCCAGAGACGCAAACGUUAGUCGUCCUAAUCAGGCGUAAAGGGUAUGUAGGCUGCUUUAAAAGUUUAGUUUUAUAUUUUAAUAGCUCAGUUUAAAAUAUUUAAAUAUCAAUAUCUUAAACAGUAAAAUAUACAAUGAAUUAAAGCUAGGAUCAAAUUGAGGAUAAUUUAAAUAAUACUUAGUGUAGGGUUUACAUCUGGUGAUACUAAGGGGAGUACUAACGGUGAAAGCUUUUUAUCUAGAAAUGAUUGACGCUGAGAAACGAAGGUGAGAAUAGGAAAUAGGAUUAGAUACCCAGAUACCUCUCACAGUCAACGAUGAAUGGUGGUUGUUAGUUAGUUUUAUUUAACUGAUAACGAUGUUAACACGAUAACCAUUCCGCCUUGCGAGUACGGUUGCAAAACUGAAACCAAAAAAAUUAGUCGGUCUCGAAGCAAACGAAGUGAAGCAUGUUAUUUAAUU
rnacentral:rRNA from 1 species